CCGCGAAGGGCGGUUGCGAGGCCGAGUCUUCUGUGCGCCUGCGCGGGCGCUCGAGGCGGGCGGGGGCCGAGCGGGCGCAGCGCGGUGGCGCGUGCGCGCUGAGGAGACGGAGAUCUCUCGCGAGGAAGGACGCCAUUAUCGCAGCCGCCCGACAAACACCACGAGAAUUCGGCACCGCACACGGAUUGCAUGUCUCAUAAAACUGCUUGUUUGGGGGCCUGCAGUGGUGUUUGACUGCAAAGUGCAGCCUGGUUCUGAAUGAUGUCAGAACAGGAUCUGGCAGAUGUUGUUCAGAUUGCCGUUGAAGACUUGACUCCAGACAACCCAGAGUGUUGGGGUUUCAGAAGCCAGUGGAUCUGUCGAAGCAGAACAGCUGAUGUGGCAACUCUGCUUCCUCAUGUUGUGUUGGCGAAUCAUGAAGUGACAGACGAUGAUGUAGAGCCUACUCUGAAACGUCAGCGCAUAGAAAUCAACUGCCAGGAUCCCUCUAUUAAGUCAUUCCUGUGUUCCAUUAAUCAGACAAUAUGCCUGCGACUGGAUAGCAUUGAGGCAAAGUUGCUGGCUCUAGAGGCUACCUGUAAAUCACUGGAAGAGAAGUUGGAUCUUGUCAUGAACAAACAGCACAGCCCCAUCCAGGUCCCCAUGGUGGCAGGUUCUCCUCUUGGCGCUACACAGACCUGCAAUAAAGUACGAUGUGUUGUUCCCCAGACCACUGUAAUACUGAACAACGACCGGCAGAAUUCAAUUGUAGCCAAGAUGGUUGGGCAGGAAGAGCCACUGAGCAGAGCAGCGGAUUCUCUGGAAAAUAUCCUUAGCAAUGCUGUUCCUGGUCGUAGGCAGAACACCAUAGUGGUGAAGGUUCCAGGGCACGACGACAGUCACAAUGAAGAUGGAGAGAGUGGCUCUGAGGCCAGUGACUCCGUUUCCAACAGUGGACAAUUAGGAAGCCAAAGUAUUGGGAACAAUGUCACUCUUAUUACGCUGAACUCUGAAGAGGAUUAUCCCAACGGGACGUGGCUUGGAGAUGAAAAUAACCCUGAGAUGCGGGUCCGUUGCCCCAUCACCCCUGCUGACAUGCUGCACAUCAGCACCAACUGCCGCACGGCCGAGAAGAUGGCGCUGACGUUGCUCGAUUAUCUCUUCCAUCGGGAAAUUCAGGCCAUCUCCAACCUUUCAGGCCAGGGGAAGCAUGGCAAGAAGCAGCUUGAUCCUCUCAUGAUAUACGGAAUCCGCUGUCAUCUCUUUUAUAAAUUUGGGAUCUCAGAAUCUGACUGGUAUCGAAUCAAGCAGAGCAUAGACUCCAAGUGCCGAACAGCCUGGAGGCGGAAGCAGCGGGGGCAGAGUCUGGCUGUGAAAAGCUUCUCCAGGAGAACGCCUUCGUCGUCAUCUUACAGUGGUUCAGAGGGUCCUCAGAGCUCAGUGUCAGCUUCAAAUGAGAUCCAGCAGAACCAACCACAGGCACUGCACUACGCACUGGCCAACGCCCAGCAGGUUCAGAUCCACCAAAUAGGAGAAGAUGGACAAGUCCAAGUAAUCCCGCAGGGCCAUCUCCACAUAGCCCAGGUUCCUCAAGGCGAGCAGGUCCAAAUCACGCAGGACAGCGAGGGAAACCUGCAGAUACAUCAAGUGCACGUCGGGCAGGAUGGGCAGAUCAUUCCCUGCUUUUGGAGUGACGCUACGUAUUUAUGUUAAGCAGCACAAGUGUUACAGAGUUCACCAGGAGGAAGCGUUAGAUUUAAGUCACGUGUCAGGUUAGUGUGAUUUUUCUGAUUAACUGUUUUGUUGCAAGUGCUGCUAAUGACCCUGAUAACGGGGAAUCUCAGUCCCGUGGCAGUGACAUAGGAGGUGCUGUUACACCCAACUCAUCCGACUUAGGCUCUGCUCUGUGCCCAGCACUCUGUGCUCUGCUUUGGGGCUGUUCUUCUGACUCCAAACCUCAGUCAGCCCCUUGGUUUCGAUUGUUAAAAAGAAAAAGGGUUGUAGAAGUCUCUAUAAUGGAUCAGAUUCAGGUAGAAGCAAAAUGUCAGCAGUGCUGGUAGCUGAGCAGAGGUAUCGACUCGUAAUGACAAAAUGUUAAUCAGAAUUUAUGCAUCUCAGAACUGUUUUGUGCAACUUCUUUUGGAGUUUUUCCUGUAUUAAAGCAUUUUGCAUGUAUAAUAGUAGGAAAACAGCAGUGUGUGUGUCAGGGAUAGGACAUCUGUGCUGCAUGAACACAGGAGAUGUGGAGAGCAAAACCAAAGAGGUUGUUCCAGCAAUAGCACAGUGAUUUUUUGUUGUUGGCUUUGGGAUCAUGUUUUCCAUCAGGAUAAAUUUGUUCUAUAGUAGGUCAAUAAAAAAGAGCUUAUCAAACGGUGAAAGGGUUUGGAAGCAUACAGAAAAGAGUACAUGCCAGUGAUGCAUGCACCCAAACUCAAUACCAGAUAUCAAGUUUUGGUCAGUGAAACUGACUGUGUGUGUGAAAGGGUUGUGAUUUGGUGUGAACUUGGAUUGCACAUCUCCUAAAGGGAAGCCACUUCUGCCCAUAGGUCUGUUCAGUGCUGGAACAGGACGCUGAUCUUUAGAGAUGUGUAAUAAAAUGCCAGAUUUUUACCUUUUGGUGCGUGUUUUUCAUUUUCAGUGGUGAUAAAUCAGGGAGAUGCUGCAUGAAACACAGGGGAAGGAGCGAUCAGUGAAUCAUCUGUUCUACAUUAAACUGUGACUCAAUCGAGCUUAACGGGAAUGGAACUGUCAAAAACGUUUGUCAUUGGACUAAUUCUUUUCCAAGUGAUUCCAAGAGCUCCAUUACUUGGUGUCUGUUCAACACCGGACUCUAAAUAAUGAAAUCGCUCAUGAAGUUCACAAAUGUGUUUCAUGGCAGUUUGUGUAGAUCUACCCUUAGAAGCUGCAGAGCUGAGGAACAGGUUUGUCUUCUGUGGAGCUACUCCAAAUUGAGAUGACCUUCAGAUGGAUCCGUGUGUGUAAUUUGGAGCAGAUUAGUAGCUGUGGAAGACUGGGGACGAUUGAGGUAGAUGUGGUAGGACUGCUCAGGGAUCCUUCUGUUUUGUCUUUUAGGAAAAAAUGGUCACGUAGGAGCAUUUAUUGGGUACAUUGGCUGCAAAUGUCUGCAGAGGAAAUGCUUCCUUCCCUUGGGAAGACUUAAAUUACACCGGUUCCUUAAAGAACGCCCUUUGCCCUUAAUAUACCUGUCACUUUCUGGAGUUCAUCUGUUGACUGCAGCAUGCUUUAGUUUUCUGAGCGCUGCAUUUUUCACUGCUAUGGGAGUGUAGUGCAAUGCGUUUUGAGGCUGCUGUCUAACUUGUUUGCUAAAAAAAAAUCUGUCCCUUCCAACUCUCAUAGGGUCAGAACAUCUGAAGUCCGAAUUGGGGCUGAGUUUUCCUGGCGGAGCAGCACGUUUAAUGCUUGCUGCACUGCCUGAGGCCCCCGCUUGUUAUCACUGAAUUGUUAAACUUCUUCCAGCGAUUGUUUGUUUUGCUGGAAAGCCACAAUGAAAGCUUCAGCAAAGAGAGUCAGAGGAACAAAAGAAUUCCUCGAACAUUGCAAAGCCGUUGACCAAAUGGACGCUGUUAGUGCUCUCCAUCCAGUGGCUCUUGAUUCGGUGGGCUGGUGGCUUCUGUGCUGUGUUGGCAGCCAGGGAGUCAAUUAAGGACAUUCCAUCUUUCUAACACGGUUUUAAUCUUAUUUCCAGUUCCACUGCAUCAGACCAAGCCAGAUUCUUUUAUAGAUUUUGAUGUUUAUUGAAUAUAUUUUUUUCCUAGCCUGAAAUAUGAAGUAGAAGAGCCUUUCUGUGUCAACGGCAAAAUUAGGAGUGCAAACUUCUCAAACUUCAAAACUGACAGAUUUGGACUGGAUUAUUUGGAGGCCUUUUCCAACCUUAAUGCUUUUGUGAUUCUCUCCCAUCGUUUCUCUCCUUCAGUAUUAUAAAUUUUCAGGCAAAUAUGUAAUUUUUGCUCUCGGGAUUUCCAAGAAUGCAAAGCCUUCUAAUUAUAGACUAAUGUAUAAUUGUAGAAGAGGAAAGCAUAGUUCAUUUAAAAAAUAACAAUAACUUAAAUUACCUGUGGGAAGUGAAAAACAUCCCCUGUUUUGCUCCCGGCAGGAAAGCAGAACAGGAGAGUUGGUGGCUCCCCCUGAUCAGGCUCUGUCAUGGCACCCAGGCUCUGUCAUGGCACCCAGGCUCUGUCAUGGCACACGGCAUCCAGCGCCUGCUGCCCCACGUCUGCAAACAGCGCUGAGCACAGAAACAGCUCCUGUCUCAAAGUCCAGCCCUAGCAGCUAAGGGCUUUGCCUUCCAUCCAGCUCAGAUCUCGUUGUCAGUGCAAAAACUGAGCUUUAGUUUGAAUUGUUGUCCGAAUUCACACCAGCGCUAUAUUGGUUCCAAAUGUUGAAUGUGUUGAGAGUUGUGUUUUCCAGUUCGAGUGGAGCGUUUUAGAGGAAAGAGAAAUGGAUUUUUUUUUUGUCGUCUUGUUUGUGCUUUUACUUAAUUAUUAUUAAAGCAGAAAUUGGGGCAAAAUAUUCGAACAUGAUGAAAAUUGUUGCUUUUUUCUACGUGGCAAAAACUGAAAGCUGAAAUGUCCCCCAGGCAGCACAACAACGUUAUUUUGUGACAUUGAAACGCGGCAAGGAAGGGAAAACGAAAGUCAGAAUUGUGCUGUGCUUAACGAGGGCUGCCUCCUGUGUGCCUCUGCGCCGUGUUUGGUGCCAUGGAGUUUUAUGGUCGGUGCAGUGCUGCUGAUAGCAUCUCAGUGCCGUUCCCCUGCAUUUCCUCUCAGCUUGAAACACAGCAGAGAUGCACGGCAGCCCGGUUGCUCCGGCGUGUCAGCUGUGCUGUGCGUGAUAUUGGGGUUGAAUUUAAGAAGUAAUGUAUAGCAGUGUGACUUUGCAGCUAUGCCUGAGCUGGGUUGCUGUGUGUCGGGACUGCUUAGGUUACCAGGCAUCCAUAAGAGAAGUUACCUUCAUCUUGUGCUGUUAGCUUUGUGCCUGCGAUCCUUAUGGGUAACGCAAAGAUCGAAGCACUGUUGGGAAUUGUUUCGAGAGCUUUAAGGGGAAAGAAAUGGGGAGGAACAGCUCCUGUGUGCGUCCUGGUGGAGCUGCUGCCGAAAUCCCGUUGAGGAGCGGUGCUAUCAGUGCUGUGCUUACGGAGCACGGAGGAAAUAAAAUGAUUUUCUCUGACCGCCAGACCCUGCGAGGAAUCAAAAGCAGUUUAACGCCACGAUUUGGUAAUUCUGCGCUUCCUCCGAGGCAGCGUGCAGGAAAACGCUUUGUUUCACUGGUCAGAGUUUUAUCACCUCCUAACUGAAGGGAGCUGCAGAACUGUGCCAGCAGCAGCGCGGUGCUCUGAGCAUCCCGGGAUGUUCGAAAACAUCCAAGGAAUAUGUGACAAUUGGAAGAACUUUGUAGGUAGAGAAUAAUUAUGAGUUGCACCCAUCUUGUGCAGAUCACCAUGCAGCUGAUCAGAUGGCUGGCUGUGUUGAGAUGUUACACACAGCAGCUCUUUGUUUCACUGAGCAUUUCCAUUGCUAAUUAUUUCCUUCGCUUUCAUACAUGUUGCUGGACACUGGGUAAUGUUUUGCCUGAAAUCUCUUAAGCUACAGCUUCCAUCACCACCACAGAGGAGCUGAACGUAGAAGCCAGCGAAUGGAGCUCCCAGCUGUCUUUUUAAUCCAGUUGCACCAGAUGCAUUGCAUAACAGUACCACAAAGCUCACUUUUCUGUUCUGAAGGCAGUGUUAGAAAGAGGAAGCCUUUGUUUGGGCAUGGCCGUGACAGAAGUCAGCUCUGUGGCUUGUGGCUCUGCACAGACAUAGGUGAGGGCAUCAAUUGUACUUGAGCUGUAAAUUUGAAGUUGCUUUCCAAUUAUUUUGAUCUAGGAGGGUUGUUUUUUUUUAUUAUUAUUAUUUUUUAUUUAAUGAAAAACUCUGUGGGUCUUCCGAGCAUUAAAUGGCAACAUCUUAGGAAUCAGCUUCAAUAAAGACUUCAUUUCUGUGCUGUUCUUUGAAGCCUUUUUGAACCGUUCUUUUUAGCUCAAAAACUAGACUUUCUCUCCUCUCCAUAUGUCUCCAUACGUCUGUCUAAUCAGGAGCUUGUUUCUCCCUCAGGAUGGGCUCUGGCAUCUCUUUUCUCCAGUUGCUCCAGGAAAAGUUUGGCUCCCAAAGAACCUUCUCAUUUUGGCUUUGCACUGGUUUCCCCUGCUCUGUGUUCUCAGAGCCCAUCAAAGGCUGCCUCCUGGCUCCCUCCUGCCCUGACAUUCCUUCCCAGCCGUGCUUUUUUGCUGAAACUUCAGGAAUAUCCUGCGCUGCUCCCUUUGAAGUGUGCUCGUGCCACUUUUGCAUAACUGGUUUCAAGCCCCAGCAGCCUCUCUCAGAUUCCAAGCCAUUUGGGCAGCUCUCUCCCUGGGGCUCCCAUGACUGCCAGGUACCACCCUGCAUCCUAUUCACUGCCAGCCUCCUGGCACAGAGCUGCUGGCACAGCCCCAGAAAUGUGAUCUCAAGUUAUGACUUCAUGCAAAAAAUUACAGCGUUUGCUUGCGAGCCGUAACCGAGAUUAGAAAUUGUAAGGGAGCAACGCUUUUUUGUUUUCAUUUCCUGCUUGCUGGUUUGUUGCUUCUAUGGAAGUAUUCUGUUGAAUUGCUCGGGACUGCUUUCCUCUUUGAUACCAUCUUUAUUUGUUGUGAAUUGGUUGUGUUAUGCAGUCAGUCCUUCCUCUGUAACCUCUCUUGAAAGCAGUGUGGGGGUUCUAACAGAUACGUGUUGUGAAAUACGUGUAUUUCAGAAGCAAACUUCAUUGUGCCAGGUUGCCAUGCUUGCCAAUUAACAGACUGAGCGUAUUCUUGCACAUCAAAUCCUACAGCUUCAUACCACUGUGCUGUAUCUAAAAGGAAAAACAACUGAAAAAUGUGAGUCGCUUGCACAUAACACAGAAAAAAGUGUCACGUUUAGGGUUAAUGAUUGUGCUUAAUUUCAGCCAGAAGAACUGGAGACCUUCCUUGGGUAGCUUUGGUGGUGGCAGGGACAGCUGCUUUGGGGAGCUGAGUUUUCCAGGCAGGGUAUCCAUAGAGGGUUGUCAAACUUAGGCUGCCAACUUGGAACAGACCAUAGAACUUAGAAAAGACGUAUGUAUCAAAACAUACAAAGGCACACAUGCAAAAAUCUCAUGGGAUGGCUGAAUUCCAUGCUGUACCAGGCAUAAAAAGAAAACAGUGGAGUCAGCGGGAGAACAGAGAAUUUGAAGUCUGCGUUUGCUAGGUGUGCAGGAAAGCUGAAACCCAAAUGGGUUGAGUACAACAAAAAGGAAUGCGGUUGGGCAGCAAUAGCUGCUUCUGGCACUUGUGGUGCAUUUAGCCAUUUUCUUUCAGCUCUGAAAGAGAAAGAGAAGUAACUGUGAAAUUGGAUUGAAGAAAUCAGAACGGUGCUGCACUCGGGUGUUGCAGGGCGCUCAGCUGAUAGCUGUUGCAUCUGCAGAGCCUGCAUCAGGAGGAGUUGAUGGAUCCCCACUGCAAGGC